CGGCGUGCCUAAUACAUGCAAGUCGAGCGAAUGGAUUAAGAGCUUGCUCUUAUGAAGUUAGCGGCGGACGGGUGAGUAACACGUGGGUAACCUGCCCAUAAGACUGGGAUAACUCCGGGAAACCGGGGCUAAUACCGGAUAACAUUUUGAACCGCAUGGUUCGAAAUUGAAAGGCGGCUUCGGCUGUCACUUAUGGAUGGACCCGCGUCGCAUUAGCUAGUUGGUGAGGUAACGGCUCACCAAGGCAACGAUGCGUAGCCGACCUGAGAGGGUGAUCGGCCACACUGGGACUGAGACACGGCCCAGACUCCUACGGGAGGCAGCAGUAGGGAAUCUUCCGCAAUGGACGAAAGUCUGACGGAGCAACGCCGCGUGAGUGAUGAAGGCUUUCGGGUCGUAAAACUCUGUUGUUAGGGAAGAACAAGUGCUAGUUGAAUAAGCUGGCACCUUGACGGUACCUAACCAGAAAGCCACGGCUAACUACGUGCCAG
rnacentral:rRNA from 1 species